rnacentral:rRNA from 1 species
GCUUAGCCCUAAACAUAGAUAUUUUAGUACCUUAAUAUCCGCCAGAGACUACAAGCGAAAAGCUAGAAACUCCAAGGACUUGGCGGUGCUUCAAACCAACCUAGAGGAGCCUGUCCUAUAAUCGAUACUCCACGUUCUACCUUACCCCCCUUAGCCUUCAGCCUAUAUACCGCCGUCGUCAGCUUACCUUAUGAAAGGAAUAAAGUAUGCAAAACAGUUAAUAACUAAAACGUCAGGUCAAGGUGUAGCACACGGGCGGGCAGAGAUGGGCUACAUUUUCAAAACCGAACACACGGAUAAUAUAUUGAAACAUAUAUUUGAAGGCGGAUUUAGUAGUAAAAUAAUUAAGAAAACUGUAUUGAAAGCUGCUCUGAAGCGCGC